rnacentral:rRNA from 1 species
AUUGAACGCUGGCGGCAUGCCUUACACAUGCAAGUCGAACGGCAGCACGGGAGCUUGCUCCUGGUGGCGAGUGGCGAACGGGUGAGUAAUACAUCGGAACGUACCCUGAAGUGGGGGAUAACGUAGCGAAAGUUACGCUAAUACCGCAUAUUCUGUGAGCAGGAAAGCAGGGGAUCGCAAGACCUUGCGCUGAUUGAGCGGCCGAUGUCAGAUUAGCUAGUUGGUGAGGUAAAGGCUCACCAAGGCGACGAUCUGUAGCGGGUCUGAGAGGAUGAUCCGCCACACUGGAACUGAGACACGGUCCAGACUCCUACGGGAGGCAGCAGUGGGGAAUUUUGGACAAUGGGGGGCGAACCCUGAUCCAGCCAUGCCGCGUGAGUGAAGAAGGCCUUCGGUUGGU